rnacentral:ncRNA from 1 species
GGGUAGUAUCUUUAGUGAGAACUACACCUAUAUUAUUGUUAAAAAAAUUUAAUAGUCUGCCUUGAUCUUAGAUUGACAGGGACGGAG